GACGAACGCUGGCGGCGUGCCUAAUACAUGCAAGUCGAACGCAGUGGGGACGGGUGAGUAACACGUGGGUAACCUCCCAUCAGAGGGGAUACCACGUGGAAACAGGUGCUAAACCGAUACUGAUGGAUGGACCAGCUGUGCCUUAGCUAGUUGGUGAGGUAACGGCUUACCAAGGCCACGAUCCAUAGCCGACCUGAGAGGGUGAUCGGCCACACUGGGACUGAGACACGGCCCAGACUCCUACGGGAGGCAGCAGUGGGGAAUAUUGCACAAUGGGCGCAAGCCUGAUGCAGCCAUGCCGCGUGUAUGAAGAAGGCCCUAGGGUUGUAAAGUACUUUCAGUCGGGAGGCGUUACCGACAGAAGAAGCACCGGCUAACUCCGUGCCAGCAGCCGCGGUAAUAC
rnacentral:rRNA from 1 species